UAAUACCUCGUUUGGCACGCGACACCGUAUGAUUAGCCGAGUGCAUCUCUCUCGCUUACGCUGGCUCACUCACUCCGUCCCUCUCUCGCAACACUCUCCUUUAACUCUCUCGCAUCGCCUGCUAUCUCUCGUCUGCUUCCAGGAGGAAGACAAUGAUUCAAAUUCUUCCGAUCUGGGCUCUGACGACGAGAAGGACGACGAGGAAGGGAGCUAGGCUCCGCCGAGGAGUUGGAUAGCAAUUUGGAGCUGGGCUCCGAUGAGGAAGGGAGUUGGGCUGCGACGAGGAGGGGGACAGGAAUUCGAAUAUAGGCUUCGAGUUCUUGACCUGGCCGCUACUCUCUGCAAUCGAUCGCCGAGGGAUUAAUGCGCGGGGAAGAUGGUGAAUAAAGGAAGGCGUGAUUGAGAAGAGUCCUGGGUUUUUUUUUUUCCUUUUUUAUUUUUUAUUUUUUAAAUUUUGUCUGCAAUGAUGUUUAAUUUUUUUUUU